rnacentral:rRNA from 1 species
UACGUAGGGGGCAAGCGUUGUCCGGAAUCAUUGGGCGUAAAGCGCGUGUAGGCGGCCCGGUAAGUCCGCUGUGAAAGUCGGGGGCUCAACCCUCGGAUGCCGGUGGAGUACUGUCGGGCUAGAGUGCGGAAGAGGCGAGUGGAAUUCCUGGUGUAGCGGUGAAAUGCGCAGAUAUCAGGAAGAACACCCGUGGCGAAGGCGGCUCUCUGGGACGGUACUGACGCUGAGACGCGAAAGCGUGGGGAGCGAACAGG